rnacentral:lncRNA from 1 species
CAGCGCGGCGUCGGAGUGGAAGAGCCCCCGGCGCUUGGCGACGAGGCGGUAGUAGCUGGCGUCGAAGCUGAGGAAGCUGCCGGGGUCCAUCUCGUUGAGGGUGGUGUUGUCGGCGAGGCUCUGGCACCUGGAGCGGAGGCGGGCGAGGUACGUGGCGUCGAGGGCGGGGUCGACGUCCGCGAGGUUGUUGGCGCCGGUGAAGUUGUAGAGGCGGUCGCUGAAGAGGUUGCAGUGGGCGGUGCCGAGGGUGUGGCCGCCGGAGAGGACGACGAGGUCCUUGACGCCGAGGCCCUUGGCGGCGAACAUCUGGACGAGGCGGGUGAAGUUGGCGGUGGGCGGGGGGAGCUGGUUGGUCUCGUUGGCGAUGGAGACGCGGCCGUCGCGGCGGCCGAGGGCGACGGGCCAG